rnacentral:rRNA from 1 species
GGAGCGAAAGCUUUGCUAAUACCGCAUACGAUCUACGGAUGAAAGCAGGGGACCCUCGGGCCUUGCGCGAACGGAGCGGCCGAUGGCAGAUUAGGUAGUUGGUGGGAUAAAAGCUUACCAAGCCGACGAUCUGUAGCUGGUCUGAGAGGACGACCAGCCACACUGGGACUGAGACACGGCCCAGACUCCUACGGGAGGCAGCAGUGGGGAAUUUUGGACAAUGGGCGAAAGCCUGAUCCAGCAAUGCCGCGUGCAGGAUGAAGGCCUUCGGGUUGUAAACUGCUUUUGUACGGAACGAAAAGUCUCGGGAUAAUACCCUGGGACCAUGACGGUACCGUAAGAAUAAGCACCGGCUAACUACGUGCCAGCAGCCGCGGUAAUACGUAGGGUGCAAGCGUUAAUCGGAAUUACUGGGCGUAAAGCGUGCGCAGG